rnacentral:rRNA from 1 species
CGCGUAGGCGGCCACGCGUGUCUUUCGUGAAAUCCCUCGGCUUAACUGAGGACGUGCGGAAGAAACUGCGAGGCUCGAGUCCGGGAGAGGGGGUGGAAUUCCCAGUGUAGCGGUGAAAUGCGUAGAUAUUGGGAGGAACACCGGUGGCGAAGGCGGCCCCCUGGACCGGUACUGACGCUGAUGCGCGAAAGCGUGGGGAGCAAACG